rnacentral:rRNA from 1 species
UAGGGAAUCUUCGGCAAUGGGGGCAACCCUGACCGAGCAACGCCGCGUGAGUGAAGAAGGUUUUCGGAUCGUAAAGCUCUGUUGUAAGUCAAGAACGGGUGUGAGAGUGGAAAGUUCACACUGUGACGGUAGCUUACCAGAAAGGGACGGCUAACUACGUGCCAGCAGCCGCGGUAAUACGUAGGUCCCGAGCGUUGUCCGGAUUUAUUGGGCGUAAAGCGAGCGCAGGCGGUUUGAUAAGUCUGAAGUUAAAGGCUGUGGCUCAACCAUAGUUCGCUUUGGAAACUGUCAAACUUGAGUGCAGAAGGGGAGAGUGGAAUUCCAUGUGUAGCGGUGAAAUGCGUAGAUAUAUGGAGGAACACCGGUGGCGAAAGCGGCUCUCUGGUCUGUAACUGACGCUGAGGCUCGAAAGCGUGGGGAGCGAACAGGAUUAGAUACCCUGGUAGUCCACGCCGUAAACGAUGAGUGCUAGGUGUUGGAUCCUUUCCGGGAUUCAGUGCCGCAGCUAACGCAUUAAGCACUCCGCCUGGGGAGUACGACCGCAAGGUUG